rnacentral:rRNA from 1 species
GACGAACGCGGGCGGCGUGCUUAAUACAUGCAAGUAGAACGCUGAAGGAGGAGCUUGCUCUUCUGGAUGAGUUGCGAACGGGUGAGUAACGCGUAGGUAACCUGCCUGGUAGCGGGGGAUAACUAUUGGAAACGAUAGCUAAUACCGCAUAAGAGUAGAUGUUGCAUGACAUUUGCUUAAAAGGUGCAAUUGCAUCACUACCAGAUGGACCUGCGUUGUAUUAGCUAGUUGGUGAGGUAACGGCUCACCAAGGCGACGAUACAUAGCCGACCUGAGAGGGUGAUCGGCCACACUGGGACUGAGACACGGCCCAGACUCCUACGGGAGGCAGCAGUAGGGAAUCUUCGGCAAUGGACGGAAGUCUGACCGAGCAACGCCGCGUGAGUGAAGAAGGUUUUCGGAUCGUAAAGCUCUGUUGUAAGAGAAGAACGAGUGUGAGAGUGGAAAGUUCACACUGGACG